rnacentral:lncRNA from 1 species
CCAUGACCCUGCCAAAUCCCCCUCUGUGAGAAACACCCAAGAAUUAUCAAUAAAAAAAUAAAUUAAAAAAAAAAAUAAAUAAAUAAAUCCAGCAAAAAUAAAAAUAAAAAAUAAAAUCCCCUUGAAUACAUUUGAGGUAAUGUUGUAGUUUUCAGCUCCUCCCACGAGAGAUUUUAUGGAGUGCCUAACUGUGCUACCCGGGUGCUGCUCCUGUCGUUAGUGGUGGCACCCAGGAGGAAUUAAAAUUACAAGAGUGUUUCCUUCCAGAUGUUGUUGCUACAGGCUCAAGGUGCUCUUUUAACUGGGACAUCAGGCUUUCUUGAAAUAGACAAGAAUUCUAGAAACAUGACAUUGUGCCUGAUUCAUCGCUUCAACUUGCCACUGACUCAUUCUCUCCUUGAUAGGUUAUUCAACAGUAACUUUAAUUACAUCAUUUACUUAUUGUUUUCUUCCUUGAUUUAUUCUCUUUCUACAAUUCUUGUUUAUCAUCUCAGUGAUUGGACCAUCUCACCUCUGAGACUUGGGUAGAAUUCUGUGGACUCUGGAAAUAGACAUGGAGGUUUUCAUGUAUCUCUGUUAAUGUGUACAAACACCCCCAGGCUUGUACACUUGAAAUACAUCAGUAGGAAGGGUAGUUCUCAAUUUGCUAGUGUUUCACACAGCUUGUCUUAUUUAAUGAUCUCAGCUGCCCUAUGAAGUAGAUACCAUCCUAUUAAAAAAUGCAGGAGCAGAGGCUCUGAGAGGGGACUGUAACUUACCCAAGAUCAUGUGGUAGAUUGCAAAACUGGUUCCAAAUCCCUACCCUUCCCUGUACGCACACCUUUUGCCAUUCAUCUGCAAUGUCCUUUUCUGAUUCUGGGCUCAGCAAUAUAACUUGCUCUGGCCAACAGGAUAACAACAGCAAAUGUGAUGUAAGCAAAAGCUUGAGAAAUACUUGUGCAACUAAUCAUGUUUGCCUUCUCUCUUGUACCUGUGCCAUUGCCAUGAGAACAUGCCUGGGCUAGGAUUAGAGACACUUGGAGCAGAGCUGAGUCAUCCCAGCUGUCCCAGUUGAGGCCAGCCUAGGUCAGUCGAUGGCAACCAAGCCCUAAGCAUGUUAGUGAGCCCAGCCAUGAUCAGCACAACCACCUAGCCAACCAUCCCAGACCUGUGAUCAAUAAAGCCUUACUAUUCCAUACCACCUAGGUUUUGUGAUUAUUUAUUUCACAGAAUUAUUAUGGCAGUAUGUAACUGAUAGAAGCGGUGUACAGGGAAGAGUAUUUGUUAGUCCGUUUUCACACUGCUGAUAAAGACAUAUGCGAGACUGAGCAAUUUACAAAAGAAAGAGGUUUAAUGGACUUACAGUUCCACGUGGCUGGGGAAGCCUCACAAUUGUGGUGAAAGGUGAAAGUCACAUCUCACAUGGCAGCAGACAAGAGAAGAAGAGCUUGUGCAGGGAAACUCCCCUUUUAAAAACCAUCAGAUCUCAUGAUACUUAUUCACUAUCAUCAGAAUAGCCUGGGAAAGACCUGUCCCCAUGAUUCAGUUACUUCCCACCGUGUCACUCCCACAACAAGUGGGAAUUCAAGAUGAGAUUUGGGUAGGGACACAGCAAAACCAUAUUAGAGCAGAUCUCUGGAAUUGGGCAGGCCAAGGUUUGAAUCCCAUCUGUUAUUUGGAGUGUGUGUUUCUUUUUGAGACUAAUCUCCUUACCCUUGAAAUGAGGUAAUAUACUUCCCUCAUAGGGUUGCUGGGAAGAUUAAACACGAGGUGAAGUAAAUAAAGCCCCAGGGACAUAAGCAAAAAAUAAUGGCUUCUCACAGCAAUGCUCCAGAACAUACAACAAGGGAAUACUGGGCCCAGUCCCAGGACUAUCCAAGUGUGAAGCCAACACCUUUUCACAUCAACUCCAAGUUCCAUGGGCUGACUGGACUCCACUGGGAGUUCUUGAUGUCUCUCGUGUGGUUGUGUGAGAUAGUGGCUGGGACUGGACUCAUCUGAAGGCUUGACUGGGCUGGAUGCCCAAGAUAGCCCACUUUUAGACAGAGGUGGCUGGCAGUUGAUGCUGACUGUCAGCUGGGGACUCAGCUGAGAGUGUUAACUGGAGUCCCUAGACGUGGCUUCUCCACAUGGCUUGGGCUUCUCAUGGAAGGGCACCUGGAUUCUGAGAGAGAGCAUCCCAAGAGACACAAGUGGAAAUGAUAAGGCUUCUUAUGACGUAGACUGGAGGUACUGAGACAUCACUUUUGCUACAUUAGAAGGUUAGAUGCUGACAUUUUAUGAUUUCACAACUUGGAUCCUCUGUCCUCUGAUACUGAAUCAGAUAGUAGUUUAUGGAGCUGAGCAGAGAGCCAGCUGGUCCUGGGCACAGAGGAGGCUGUGUUCCAUGCUGAAGACAAGAACAUAUGGUGGACGUACCAUCCUAACUAUCUGGGAAGGGAGCUUCGUGGCUACAUGGGAGUUAUCAUCUGCCAGUGCCGGCUGCAUCCUGGCUGUGCCCACCUCUGGACUCUGAAUCUCUGCACCUCAGUACCCCCAACCCCAACACGACUGUGAUGUUAGGCAUAUAUUAGGCAUGUGAAGAUGAGAAAGAGAAGAUACAGCUCCCAUGUUUAUCUCCAUGAGAAGAUAAGCCACAGGGAGAGAGAAAGACUGUUGUGCACGAGAGGGAGUGUCAAAUGCCAAAUGGAUGUCAGCAGUCGGGGUGUGCUAGAGGCACUCAGGGGAAGGGAGGCUGGGCAUAGAGGGUCAUGCUGGAGGAGGUGACUCUGGAUCUGAAUCUUGAAAGUGCAGUUCCUGUUCUCCUGGCUGGACCCUGACUGAUGCCAUGGGGAAAGCCCUCGGGCUCGUGGACCUUAAAUUCCAGGUCCUGUUGUGCCCAACUCAUGAUUUAUCCAGGUCACACCAGUCUGGUCUGUCACAGUAAGAGGGCACCAUCACAUACACUAUAAUAUGAAUCAUGACCCCCGGAGUUGUGUGGAGUUUCUGCAUCUCUCCCUCCCCACUGUGGCUACCCUCAUCCAGCAACCAUCCUGUCUCUCACCGGUAUUACCGCAGCUGAGACCCAGGUCUUAAGGAAGCUGAGACCCAGGCCAGCAGGGGCCUCACAGCUUGGAAAAAGAGGAGGGUGUAAGACUCUGGAUGAAGCUGAGAGAUCCUUCCAUGCUUGGCUGAGAGACUACACAGACAUGAGCUUCAGGAGACUCCAAAGCCUCGGAUCCCCUUCUAAACUAGCACUGAAUUCUGAUUGGCUGUCUUUGCCUGCCUCAGUUUGUUCCUUUUACUGAUUGGCUAGGUUCUUCUGCCCAUGGCAGAGCCCUGCUCCAGCCACCGGAUCCUCCCACCUGCCACAGUGUCACCUGGGAUUGGCUGGGCUCUGAAAGGCCAGGCUGGCUUGACUCUUGCCAUCAUCAGAUUCUUCCUCAUUAAACAAAUGAAUCACAAUCCUAAUUAAUUUGAGCAACAGAAUUUAUGUAACUACUCCCAGCAGGAUGUCUGCUCUCAGUCAGCAGAGAGAUUACUUCCUCUCUCUGGGAAAUUCCAGCCUUGCUGGUCAAUAAGCCUUAAUGAUGACUGAAAUCUCCCAUCUGUCUCUGCUCAGGGCAGGUAACCCCUACUAAGCAGACACCCAGUUGGCUCGAGGCAGUACCCCGGGCACCGGCAGGACAAGGACAACGAUCUCCCAGCCUAGAUGUGUCCUGAGCCACAUGGAGCACACAGAUUACAGGAUCUGACUCCCAUUUGGGCCUUCCACCUCCGCUGGCCUAAGCAGUCAAGUGUCAGAGAGCACUGGACCUAACAGCUCCCUCACCAGAGCAGCUGUGAUUCCUUCUUCAUUUCCAGCAGGGAAGACCCAACAACUUUUAUAAUAUGGGAUUUCUUUUAUUCUCAUGAUAAUAAUGUUCAUUGUGGAAAAUAAAAAAAAAUGAUAAAAUAAAAAUCAGCCAGAAUUCCAA